AACCAACAACAACCUUUAUUUACUCUCAUUGAGUAAGUAGCCUUUUCCACCGAGCCUAACCAACUCGGUGGUUUUUUGA
rnacentral:antisense_RNA from 1 species